rnacentral:sRNA from 1 species
UCCUUUUUUAAUCUAUCCUCUUUUCACCACAUUUUAGUGAGAAAGCAAUUUUUUUUUUUACAAACGGAGCUUAUAUUGAUUUUUAUUUCAUAAAUAAUUGAAAGAGGGUAGAAAAAUCUGCCCUUCAUUUAAAAAUUGAAUGUUUCACUAUGUAUUUAAAAAGCGAUUCAGGAUUAGGAGGAUGGAUAACCAUACCAGCUGUAGCUGAUGUUCUAAAAUAUUCUUGCAUUGUUUGCUGGUCUUCUAGGGAAAAGAAUAAUGUGGAACAGGACCUUAAGGAGAAGGAAGAUACUAUUAAACAGAGGACAAGUGAGGUUCAGGAUCUUCAAGAUGAAGUUCAAAGGGAGAAUACUAAUCUGCAAAAACUACAGGCCCAGAAACAGCAGGUACAGGAACUCCUUGAUGAACUGGAUGAGCAGAAAGCCCAGCUGGAGGAGCAACUCAAGGAAGUCAGAAAGAAAUGUGCUGAGGAGGCCCAACUGAUCUCUUCUCUGAAAGCUGAAUUAACUAGUCAGGAAUCGCAGAUCUCCACUUAUGAAGAAGAAUUGGCAAAAGCUAGAGAAGAGCUGAGCCGUCUACAGCAAGAAACAGCAGAAUUGGAGGAGAGUGUAGAGUCGGGGAAGGCUCAGUUGGAACCUCUUCAGCAGCACCUACAAGAUUCACAACAGGAAAUUAGUUCAAUGCAAAUGAAACUGAUGGAAAUGAAAGAUUUGGAAAAUCAUAAUAGUCAGUUAAAUUGGUGCAGUAGCCCACACAGCAUUCUUGUAAACGGAGCUACAGAUUAUUGCAGCCUCAGCACCAGCAGCAGUGAAACAGCCAACCUUAAUGAACAUGUUGAAGGCCAGAGCAACCUAGAGUCUGAGCCCAUACACCAGGAGUCUCCAGCAAGAAGUAGUCCUGAACUACUGCCUUCUGGUGUGACUGAUGAAAAUGAGGUGACUACAGCUGUUACUGAAAAAGUUUGUUCUGAACUCGACAAUAAUAGACA